GACGAACGCUGGCGGCGUGCUUAACACAUGCAAGUCGAACGGAAAGGCCCUGCUUUUGUGGGGUGCUCGAGUGGCGAACGGGUGAGUAACACGUGAGUAACCUGCCCUUGACUUUGGGAAAACUUCAGGAAACUGGGGCUAAUACCGGAUAGGAGCUCCUGCUGCAUGGUGGGGGUUGGAAAGUUUCGGCGGUUGGGGAUGGACUCGCGGCUUAUCGGCUUGUUGGUGGGGUAGCGGCUUACCAAGGCUUUGACGGGUAGCCGGCCUGAGAGGGUGACCGGCCACAUUGGGACUGAGAUACGGCCCAGACGCCUACGGGAGGCAGCAGUGGGGAAUAUUGCACAAUGGGCGGAAGCCUGAUGCAGCAACGCCGCGUGCGGGAUGACGGCCUUCGGGUUGUAAACCGCUUUCGCCUGUGACGAAGCGUGAGUGACGGUAAUGGGUAAAGAAGCACCGGCUAACUACGUG
rnacentral:rRNA from 1 species